UCCCUCUGGCCACACCAAAGAGCACUUAACAUGCCAUGAUGGUCUCAGGGCAAAAGUAUAUUAAAUACUUGACAGUUAUGUGGCCUCUAGCUUUCCAGAAGAGAGGAAGUCACUGUCAUCAUAUAGUGCUUUGAUUUGAGAAGCUGAACUGAUGUCUGUGGAGACGAGAACACGAAGGAAUAAUGUAAUAUGGAACUCCCUAACAUGAUAUACCUACAAAGACUAUUGAGGCAGAGAAAUCAAUGUGGAAAAUGCAAAACUAAGGGAGAAAGCACUUUGAAACACUCAUCUAAGAAUAUGUUCCAUAUCAAAAACACAAGAAUUCCAGAAAAAUCUUCCAAGUUAUGUUCAUAGGCUUAGCAGAAUAAAGGUCAGGCUUACUAGUUAAA